GUCCCGCCGCCCCCGCCCGUGCACCAGUCGCGAAAACUUUGCAAUGUGCGAAAGCACGACAAGGUUAAUCCGAGUGGUUUCUGCUAAAGAAACCUUUUGUCAGUCCUAGAAACACUAACGAAUAAGGGGUGGGCAAGUUCUGGUGUCAGCCGCCGCGGUAAAACCAGCACCUCAAGUGGUCAGGAUGAUUAUUGGGCCUAAAGCAUCCGUAGCUCGUUUUGUAAG
rnacentral:rRNA from 1 species